UACGAGUACCCCAAGCGUUAUCCGGAAUUAUUGGGCGUAAAGGGUGCGUAGGUGGCGGUAUUAGUCUUAUGUUAAAACCUCGAGCUUAACUCGAGAAUCGCAUAAGAAACGGUACCACUAGAGGAUGUGAGAGGUGUGUAGAACUCAUGGAGUAGGGGUGAAAUCCGUUGAUAUCAUGGGGAAUACCAAAAGCGAAGGCAGCACACUGGCACAUUCCUGACAUUGAAGCACGAAAGCGUGGGUAGCGAAU
rnacentral:rRNA from 1 species